rnacentral:rRNA from 1 species
CCUUUUUUUCUGGUACUUGCUAUCCAGCAAUGGGUAGUUUUGUCCAGAUUAGUUUACUUUAGAAAAAAUUAGAGUGUUACAAAGCAGGCAUAAUUGGCAUCAUGAAUACAUUAGCAGUGGGAUAAUAGAAUAUGACAUUGGUCUUAUUUUGUUGGUUUCUAAGGCCAAAGUAAUGAUUGAUAGGGAUAGUUGGGGCCGCUCGUAUUGAGUUGUCAGAGGUGAAAUUCUAGGAUUUACUCAAGACGAACUAAUGCGAAAGCAUUCGGCAAGGAUUGUUUUCAUUAAUCAAGAACGAAAGUUGGGGGAUCGAAGAUGAUCAGAUACCGUCGUAGUCUCAACCAUAAACUAUGUCAACCGAGGAUCCGGUAGCGUUACAUGGAUGACCUUCCGGGCACUCUGUGAGAAAUCAUAAGUAUUUGGAUUUCGGG